rnacentral:lncRNA from 10 species
CCUUUUAAAACUAACUAUAUAAAAUUUGGAGACUGAAGGGAAUAAUCUUCCUAAUGUGUUUCAAGAAUGAUAAUUUCAUCUUUGUUUACAAAUUGAUAUUGACAACUCCUUUCUCAAGUAUUGUAUCCUCUCAGUUGUUAAGAUCAGCAUUAGUUUUUGACAGUCAUUAAACUUAAAAAAAAGCAGGCCUUCAGCUGCUGUUAGUGAUUUUAGUAGCCACAGAUUAAGAAAACUGAUAAUGACAAAUGACAAAUGAAUUUAUAUUUCAUACGUAUUUUAUAGAAUACAAAUUCAUGUAUAUUUAAAGUGACAUAUAUACAUACAUAUCAGCACAAACUUGAAAAAUGAACUCUUCAGUAUAUAGUCAUGCAUAUGGCUUUUCAGACCGUUUCUGAUACCUGCCUUCAUCGCAAUAUCUAACUCCCACUUGAACUCCUCUAUGGCUCACACCGUAGGAACCACUGUGUGAGGAUGAUAAAUAUAUCUGUCAAUCACCCUCAAAAUUUAUAAUCUCAUUAAAGUAAAUUAACUCCACUUUAAAAAGGUUGAUUCAUCUAUAUUUUUAAAUAUAAAUUUAAAUUUAAAUAUAAAUUAAAGCAGCUUAAUUUCCUCAUUCUCAAAGCAGACCAUUUUGAAAAUUACUUCCUACUUGUCUAUCUCUCAAGAUAAAUAAUGGCUUGAGGUCACAGCAAAAUCCAAUGAUAAUCUGCAGAAUUAUGGGCUACUUUAACCCAAUCUGUGUAGGAUAUGUUGACAUAUGUCUCUAUGGAGAGGAAUGUGGGCAUUUUCAAAAGACAAAAGAAGAACAUUUUGUUUUUUAUCAAGGAGACAUUUCAAUAUUUUAAGUGCUCUUCUGAAAUCCCAUAAAAUGUUUUCUUUCUCUUUAAAUGUCAAGGUAAUGUUCUCAUGAUUAAUGUAAAAUCAAACUCACAGCUCAUUCUUUGCACCUUAAAUGACAUUAGCAGGUCGAGACAAACAAUUAUAAAUAGAUUUUUCUGAGGUUAAAGUUAAAACAUUACCUUCAGAACUUAAAUUCUUAAAUAAUGAAUAAUAAUUUUUAAAAUAGUUUCUGCUGUAAAUAUUUUUAAGAUAUGAAAUAAAUUUCAAAGUACCAAAAGGACAAAAACACUCUCAGAUGCUCACAACAAAUUUAAUUGCAUAUCCAGCAGAGAGGCAGCUAUAUUUAAGUUUGUCUAUUAUUAUUCAAAUAAUCAAAUUUAUUUAACUAUUAAAAUUAUGCCAGCAAUAAUGUAUGUUACAUUUUAUCAUUUGCCACAUUUCCAAAUUACGCUACCAGGGUUAUUUUGUUCACAACACUCCUAGGAAGCAUAUAGAUUAAGUAUCAUUAUCCUCAUGAAAAACCCAAGGCAGAGAUCACAGAGCCCAACUGAAGAUCACAUAGGUAAUUAAUGCUAAGGAUAGGACUGAAAAGAAGAUGGUUUCAUUGUGCCAAAUUUUUGUUCAACUAGAUUGCCUGUCUCUACUGAUAAUAAUAUAAAGUGCUUUAUAAUAGUUAAUAUUUAUAAGGUGAGCCUUAAUUAUUUAUUCUGUAGUCAAUGGUUGGUAUGGUUUGGCUGUGUCCCCACCCAAAUCUCACCUUGAAUUGUAAUAAUCCCCACAUGUCAAGUGUGAGGUCAGGUGGAGAUAAUUGAAUCAUGGGGGCAGUUUCCCCCAUACUGGUCUGGUGGUAAUGUAUAAGUCUCAUGAGAUGUGAUGGUUUUAAAAAUGGGAGUUCCCUGCACAAGCUCUCUUGUCUGCUGCCAUGUAAGAUGUGCCUUUGCUUCUCCUUUGCCUUCCACCAUGAUUGUGAGGCCUCCCCAGCCAUGUGGAACUGUGCAUCUGUUAAACCUCUUUUCUUCAUAAAUUACCCUGUGCUGCAUAUGUCUUUAUUAGCAGUGUGAGAACAGACUAAUAUAAUGGUCUAUAUAAAAAUGUGAAGAAAACAGAUUGUGAGCACUGUAGUCAGGAAAAUAUAAUAUUGGUAUAGAAUACCAAUAUUAAUAUAAAUAAUAAUUAUGUGCCAGGCAGGAGACAUACACAGUCAACUCCACAUGGCUCCAUUCCCAUGGUUCUGAUUGGAGGCUGUCCAGCACAUUGCAACUGAGAUGGUGGCCUUGAUAAUUCAUGAAUCAUCAUGAGAGCCAUUCUUCCCUUUUCUUGAAGAAUAUCACAAGUUUACAGAUAAAUGGCUUUAUAGCCCUGUCCUGUAGGAUCUAAGUAGUUUGACAGCCUUCCUUUAUUUAUAAUAAAAAUUGCCUUUUCUCUAUUGUCUAAUAAAAUGUUUCCCAUUUCUACAUGAGGCUUCAUCAGAAUACCCUUUAGUGCCUACAUUUCUUCCAACAGACUAUACAUAACUAUUUAUGUAUUAUUUAAGAAGAUGGAAUCAUUCUCUAUAGCCCUGCUUUUUUUCUUUGUGAGUCCUGACCAGAAUCACCUUUAAAGCUGCUUCCACAUUUUUUAGUAUCGGUUAUAGCAGCAACCUAUUUGUCAGUAUCAAAAACUUUCUUCAUCAAUUGUGGCUGCCAUAACAAAAUUCUGUAGAUUGGAUGGCUUAAAUAACAAAUAUUUCUCAUAUAAAUAUCAAUAUAAAUAAUUAUCAUGUCAAUAUUUAUAUAAAUGAUAGUAUUAUUGUCUAUGAAACCAUAUAUAUAAUAUCCCAUUAUAAAAUUAUCUAAUGAAGAGAUGUAAUAAAUGAACAAUAAGACUCAGCUAUAUGCUGCCUACAAGAAACUCAUCUCACUUUUAAGGACACACAGAGACUGAAAGUGAAGGGAUGGAAAAGAUGCUCCAUGCAAAUGUAAACCAAAAGAGGGCAGAAGUAGCUAUACUUACAUCAGACAAAAUAGUCAUUAAGUCAAAAAUUGUAAAAAGAGACAAGAACACUAUAGGCUGGGCGCGGUGGCUCAUACCUGUAAUCCCAGCACUUUGGGAGGCUGAGGCAAGGGGGAUCACGAGGUCAGGAGAUCGAGACCAUCAUGGCUAACACGGUGAAACCCCAUCUCUACUAAAAAUACAAAAAGUUAGCCGGGCGUGGUGGCAGGUGCCUCUAGUCCCAGCUACUCAGGAGGCUGAGACAGGAGAAUGGCAUGAACCCGGGAGGCAGAGUUUGCAGAGAGAUGAGAUCAUGCCACUGCACUCCAGCGCCUGGACAACAGAGUGAGACUCGGUCUCAAAAAAAAAAAAAAAAAAAAAAAAAGACAAGAACACUAUAUAAUGAUAAAGCAGUAAAUAUAUGUGCACUCAACAUUGGGGGCAGCUAAAUAUAUGAAAUAAAUAUUAAAGGAUCUGAAGGAGAAAUAGAUUGCAAUAUAAUCGUAGCAGGGAACUUUAAUACUCCACUUUUAAUAAUGGAUAGAUCAUCAAGACAGAAAACUAAUAAGAAAACACUGGACUUGAACACUUUUCAUCAAGUGAUAAUGGACAUAUACAGAACAUUUUAUUCAACAGCAACAGAAUACACAGUCUUCUCCAACAUACAUGAAACAUUCUCCAGGACAGAUUAUAUGUUAGAGCACAAAACAACUAUUAACAAAUUUUAAAAGGCUGAAAUUGUGUAAAGUAUUUUUUCUGACCACAAUGGUAGAAAACUGGAAAUCAAUAACAGAAGGAAUUUUGGAAAAUUCACAAAUACAUGGAAAUCAGACAAUAUACUCUUGAACAACAAAUGGGUCAAUGAAGAAGUCAAAAGGGAAAUUUACAUAUAUUUUAAGACAAAUGAAAAUAAAAACACAUUAUACCCAAACUUAUGGGACACAGCAAAAGUGGGUCUGAGAGGGAAGUUUUUAGCAGUUAAUACCUACAUCAAAAGGGAAUAAAAAUCUCAAGCAACUUACAGUUACUCCUUGAGGAACUAGAAAAAGAACAAACUAAGCCCAAAGUUAGCAGAAGGAAGUUACAAAGAUCAGAUCAUAAAUAAGUAAAAUAGAGACCAAAAAAAGGUGAAAAGAUCAAUGAAACGGAAUUGAAUUUUUCAAAAGAUAAAGUUGACAAACCAUUGGCUAGAUUAGGGAAAAAAGGGAGAAGAAAAGAAAAUUAAAAAUGAAAGAGUAGACCUUACAAUUGAUACUAUAGAAAUACAAAGGGUAAUAAAAUAUUACUAUGAAUAACUACAUGUCAGUAAAUUAGAUAACCUAGAAGAAAUGGAUGAAUUCCUAAACAGGGACAACCUACCAAGACUGAAGCAUGAAGAAAGAGAACAUUUGAACAGACCAAUAAUGAAUGGGGAAAUUCAAUCAGUAAUAAAUAGUUUCCAAUUAAAGAAAAGCCCAGGACCAUAUGGUUUCACUGCUGAAUUCUACCAAACAUUUAAGGAAGCACUAAUACCAAUUCUCCUCAAACUAUUCCAAAAAAUAGAAGAGGAGGGAAUAAUUCUACACAAUUUUUAGGAAGCCAACAUUACUUGGAUAUCAAAGCCAGACAAGGACACCACAAGAAAAGAAAAUUACAGGCCAAUAGCCUCGAUGAUCCUCAACAAAGUACUAACAAAGCAAAUCCAACAACAUUUUAAAAGGAUUUAUGCACCAUAAUCAAGUUUGAUUUAUCCCUGGGAUGCAAAAAUCAUUCAACAUACAAAAAUCAAUAAAUAUGAUACAUCAUAUUAACAGAAUGAAGAACAAAAGCCAUAUGAUAAUUUCAUUAGAUACAGAAAAAGCAUUUGAUAAAAUUCAACAUCCUUUUAUAAUAAAAACUCUCAUCAAAUUAGCUAGAAAAGGAAUAUGCUUCAACACAAUAAAUACCAUAUAUGAAAAGCCCACAGCUAAUAUUAUACUGAAUGGUGAAAAAUUAAAAGCCUUUUCUCUAAGUUCUGAAUUAAGAAACAGGUACUUAUUUUCCUUUUCUUAAUUCAAAAAGGACACCUAUUGCUUCUCUUCAAUGUAGUAGUGAAAGUUCUUGCCAGAGUAAUUAGCAAGAGAAAUAAAUAAAAAGCAUUCAACUAGGAAAAAAAAAGAAGUGAAAGUGUUGCUGUUUACUGUCAACAUCGUCAUAUAUAUAGAAAAUCCUAGACUUUACCAAAAAACCCUGUUAGAACUAAUAAAUGAAUGCAAUGAAGUUACAAGAUACAAAUUGACACUCCGAAAUCAGUCGUGUUUCUAUACUCUAAUAAUGAACAAUUCAAAAAAAUUCCACAUGUAAUAAUUUCAAAAAACUAAAUAUUUAGGAAUAGAUUUAACCAAGAAGGUAAAAAACAAGUAAACUUAAACCUAUAAAAACUAAUAGAAUAAACUGAAAAGAGCAUAAAUAAAAGAAAAAAUAACCUGUGUUCAUGUACCGGGAGAAGUAAUAUUGUGAAAAUGUCCAUACUACUCAAAGCAGUCCAUAGAGCAUAGUGUCAAUGCAAUCCCUAAAUUUCAUUUUUCUUCAUAUAAAUAGAAAAAGGAAUCCUAAAAUAUGUAUAGAACCACAAAAUCCAUGAAUAGCCAAGGUAGUCGUGAACAAAAAGAACAAAGCUAAAGAUGUCACACUAUCUGAUUUCAAGCUACAGACAUAACUUGUUUGUUUGUUUUUUAUACUUCACUUUAUUGCACUUUGCAGAUAUUGCAUUUUUUACAGAUUGAAGGUUUGUGGCAACAUUGCAUUGAUCAAGUCUAUCAACACCAUUUUUCCAACAACAUGUGCUCAUUUCAAGUCUCUGUGUCUGCAUUUUUUAGCAAUAAAGUAUUUUUUGUAUUGUACUUUUUUAAAGACAUAAUGCUGUUGCAUGCUUAAGAGAUUAUAGUUUAAAUAUAACUUUUAUAGGCACUCAGAAACCAAGAAAUUCAUUUGCCUUUCCUACUGUGAUAUUUGCUUUGAUGCUGUGAUCUGGAUCCAAACCUGCAAUAUAUCCAAGGAACAAAGACAGGUCUUCCUAGUCACCUUAUGGUUGAACCAAUUCUGACCAAUGAUUUGUCAGCAGAAGUGAUGAAUGUUAUGGAUAAUCCGCAAUGUUUAAUAGUGGGUGUGAGACACCCUUCUCUCACUUCUCUUUUCCCUCUGACACGUCAAAAACUGAGAUGUUAUUUGCUUCCUGAGACUGACCUCUGAGGCACUACAAUUAACAGAGCUUCCCUACCUCCCCCAAGAUUUUCUAAUUUGAGGAAGAAAUAAGCCUUUGUUCUCUGAGUCAGUAAGGUUUGUGUGGUAUUAGUUACCUGAGAAUAACCUUGUCUAUCCUAGUCUAUCCUGUAUUCAAUCGCUAAAGUUAAAUAAAAUAAAAUAUAAGAAAACAUUUUAUUUGCCAGAAAUCACUACAUAAAUAUUUAUUGUUAUACUCUUAAUUACAAUCAGGUGUCAAAAUGUUGAAAAUUACAAUACAUUAAAAGGAAUAUCAGGAAUGUUUUCUAAUGGGAAAAAUUGGGAAGAUAAUUUAAACAUGAUUUUUUAUAUAGUAUAC